GAGUUGCCCUUUCGCCUCCCAGUAACCAGACAACACAUGAUUCUGGGGGUACAAACUGGAAUUCUUUAAUGGCAGCCACAACUGGCCUUAUAUGCAUGUCCCCAUGCAAGGGGCACUCCCUACUGGACCUCAGAGUAGACUACAGUAAAAACAUACACACGAUUACAUUGGCUCUCAGGUCCAGGACACUCCCAUACAAAAUCAGAUAAUCCCUCCUCUGUGCC